CACACACACACACACACACACACACACACACACACACACAGAGGUGCGGACGGAGUAAACUUGAGCAAACUAUGUCGGCUCUGCGGUUUUGUUGAAGUCACAGUGAGUCAUGGCAAUGCCGAUAAAUUGGUUUCAGGUAUAGUUACAGUUUUU